GAGUAACACACGCUGUCUAAAUGGCCCAAAUGUUGAUUUAGACAUUGACAAAUGUAACAGAUUUUGACGAUCACUAAUGUCAUGAUAUGUUUGGUAAAGUCGUAAAGAAGGUGAAAUAUUUUGGGUACAUUUUCCUAAAACAUAACUAUAUAUGGACAUAAUAUAAAGUAUGAAAAUACUUAUUUUAUAUCAUAUUUGUAUAUGUUUUAUUAUACGUUUAUUGUGUACUAGAUCAUAUGGGUUGAAGUGUUUAUUGUGUACUAGAUCAUAUGGGUUGAAGUGUUUAUUGUGGACUAGAUCAUAUGGGUUGAAGUGUUUAUUGUGUACUAGAUCAUAUGGGUUGAAGUGUUUAUUGUGUACUAGAUCAUAUGGGUUGAAGUGUUUAUUGUGGACUAGAUCAUAUGGGUUGAAGUGUUUAUUGUGUACUAGAUCAUAUGGGUUGAAGUGUUUAUUGUGUACUAGAUCAUAUGGGUUGAAGUGUUUAUUGUGUACUAGAUCAUAUGGGUUGAAGUGUUUAUUGUGUACUAGAUCAUAUGGGUUGAAGUGUUUAUUGUGUACUAGAUCAUAUGGGUUGAAGUGUUUAUUGUGUACUAGAUCAUAUGGGUUGAAGUGUUUAUUGUGUACUAGAUCAUAUGGGUUGAAGUGUUUGUGUACUAGAUAAUAUGGGUUGAAGUGUUUAUUGUGUACUAGAUCAUAUGGGUUGAAGUGUUUAUUGUGGACUAGAUCAUAUGGGUUGAAGUGUUUAUUGUGGACUAGAUCAUAUGGGUUGAAGUGUUUAUUGUGGACUAGAUCGUAUGGGUUGAAGUGUUUAUUGUGUACUAGAUCAUAUGGGUUGAAGUGUUUAUUGUGUACUAGAUUAUAUGGGUUGAAGUGUUUAUUGUGGACUAGAUCAUAUGGGUUGAAGUGUUUAUUGUGGACUACAUCAUAUGGGUUGAAGUGUUUAUUGUGUACUAGAUCAUAUGGGUUGAAGUGUUUAUUGUGAACUAGAUCAUAUGGGUUGAAGUGUUUAUUGUGUACUAGAUCAUAUGGGUUGAAGUGUUUAUUGUGGACUAGAUCAUAUGGGAUGAAACAUGUUUUUUUUCUCAGACAUACAGUGUACGUGGAAAGUAUUCAGACCCCUUAACUUUUUACACAUUUUGUUACAUUACAGCCCUAUUCUAAAACAGAUUAAAUUGUUUUUUCCCUCAUCAAUCUACACACAAUACCCCAUAAUGACAACGCAAAAACAGGUUUUUAGCAGUUAGAUGUGUACACCUGGGGUGAGUUUCUAGUAUAGUUAGUAGUUAGAUUAGUACACCUGGGGUGAGUUACUAGUAUAGUUAGUAGUUAGGAGUACACCUGGGGUGAGUUACUAGUAUAGUUAGUAGGUAGUUAGAGGAGUAAACCUGGGGUGAGUUACUAGUAUAGUUAGUAGUUAGAGGAGUACACCUGGGGUGAGUUACUAGUAUAGUUAGUAGUUAAAGGAGUACACCUAGGGUGAGUUACUAGUGUAGUUAGUAGUUAGAGGAGUACACCUGGGGUGAGUUACUAGUAUAGUUAGUAGUUAGAGGAGUACACCUGGGGUGAGUUACUAGUAUAGUUAGUUGUUAAAGGAGUACACCUAGGGUGAGUUACUAGUAUAGUUAGUAGUUAGAGGAGUACACCUGGGGUGGGUUACUAGUAUAGUUAGUAGUUAGAGGAGUACACCUGGGGUGAGUUACUAGUGUAGUUAGUAGUUAGAGGAGUACGCCUGGGGUGAGUUACUAGUAUAGUUAGUAGUUAGAGGAGUACACCUGGGGUGAGUUAUUAGUAUAGUUAGUAGUUAGAAAUGACCUGUGAAAUGAUUCAAAUCCAAUGUAUUGGUCACAUACACGUGUUUAGCAGAUGUUAUUGCGGGUGUAGUGAAAUGCUUGUGCUUCUAACUCCGACAGUGCAGUAAUAUCUAACAAGUAAUAUCUAACAGUUUCACAACAUUUACCCCAAAAUACACGUAAAUCUAAGUAAGGAAUGGAUUAAGAAUAUAUACAUAUGUCAGAGCAGCAUUGGACUAAGAUACAGUGGCACAGUAUAGAAUACAGUAUAUACAUAUGAGAUGGGUGAUGCAAUAUUUACACAGAAUUAAAGUGACUAAGAUACCGUAGAAUAGUAUAGAAUACAGUUUAUACAUAUGAGAUGGGUGAUGCAAUAUUUACACAGAAUUAAAGUGACUAAGAUACCGUAGAAUAGUAUAGAUUACAGUUUAUACAUAUGAGAUGAGUAAUGCAAGAUACAGAAACAUUAAAGUGCCUAUUGUUUCAUUUCCUUAAAGUGGCCAGUGAUUUCUAAUCUAUGUCUAUAGGCAGCAGCCUCUGAUGUGCUGGAGAUGCUGUUUAACAGUCAGUGGUGUAGUAUAGAAUACAAUACAGUAUAUACAUAAGAAAUGGGUGAUGCAAUAUUUAAACACAAUUAAAAGUGACUAAGAUACCGUAGAAUAGUGUAGAGUGCAGUUUAUACAUAUGAGAUGAGUAAUGCUAGAUACAGAAACAUUAUUAAAGUGGCUAAUGAUCCAUUUCUAAAAGUGGCCAGUGAUUUCUAUGUCUGUCUAUAGGCAGCCGCCUCUGAUGUGCUAAUGAUGGGCUGUUUAGCAGUCUGAUGGCCUUGAGAUAGAAGCUGUUUUUCAGUCUCUCGGUCACAGCUUUGAUGCACCUGUACUGACUUCGCCUUCUGGAUGAAUGCGGGGUGAACAGGCAGUGGCUCGGAUGGUUGAUGUCCUUGAUGAUCUUUUUGGCCUUCCUAUGGCAUCGGGUGCUGUAGGUGUCCUGGAGGGCGGGAAGUUUGUCCCCGGUAAUGCGUUGGGCAGACCGCACCACCUUCUGGAGAGCUUUGCGGUUGUGGGCGGUGCAGUUGUUGUACCAGGCGGUGAUACAGCCCGACAGGAUGCUCUUAAUUGUGUAGCUGUAAAAUUUUGUGAGGGUUUUAGGUGCCGAGCCAAAUGUCUUUAGCCUCCUGAGGUUGAAGAGGCGCUGUUGUGCCUUUUUCACCACACUGACUGUGUGGGUGGACCAUUUCAGUUUGUCAGUGAUGUGUACGCCGAGGAACUUGAAGCUUUCAACCUUCACUGCGGUCCCAUUUAUGUGGAUGAGGGGUGCACCCUCUGCUGUUUCCACGAUCAUCUCCUUAGUUUUGUUGACGUUGAGUGAGAAGUUAUUUUCCUGACACCACACUCCGAGGGCCCUCACCUCCUCCUUGUAGGCUGUCUCAUCGUUGUUGGUAAUCAAGCCUACCACUGUAGUGUUGUCUGCAAACUUGAUGAUUGAGUUGGAGGCGUGCUUGGCCACACAGUCAUGGGUGAACAGGGAGUACAGGAGGGGGCUGAGCACGCACCCUUGUGGGGCCCCAGUGUUGAGGAUCAGCAAAGACGAGGUGUUGUUUCCUACCUUCACCACCUGGGGGCGACCUGUCAGGAAGUCCAGGACCCAGUUUCACAGGGCGGGAUUCAGACCCAGGACAUAGAGCUUGAUGAUGAGCUUGGAGAGUACUAUGGUGUUGAAUGCUGAGCUAUAGUCAAUGAACAGCAUUCUUACAUAGGUAUUCCUCUUGUCCAGAUGGGAUACGGCAGUGUGCAGUGUGGCGGCGAUUGCAUCAUCUGUGGAUCUAUUGGGGCAGUAAGCAAAUUGAAGUGGGUCUAGGGUGACAGGUAAGGUGGAGGUGAUAUGAUCCUUGACUAGUCUCUCAAAGCACUUCACGAUGACAGAGGUGAGUGCUACGGGGCGAUAGUAGUUUAGUUCAAUUACCUUUGCUUUCUUAGGUACAGGGACAAUGGUGGCCAUUUUGAAGCAUGUGGGGACAACAGACUGGGAUAGGGAGAGAUUGAAUAUAUCUGUAAACACACCAGCCAGCUGGUCUGCGCAUGCUCUGAGGAUGUGGCUAGGGAUACCAUCUGGGCAGGCAGCCUUGCGAGGGUUAACACUCUUAAGUGUCUUACUCACUUCGGCCAUGGAGAAGGAGAGCCCACAGUCCUUGAUAGCGGACUGCGUCAGUGACACUGUAUUAUCCUCAAAGCAAACGCAGAAGGUGUUCAGCCUGUCCGGGAAGCAAGACGUCGGUGUCCUGGUCGCUAGUUUUCCCUUUAUAAUCCGU
rnacentral:lncRNA from 1 species